AGAGUUUGAUCCUGGCUCAGGACGAACGCUGGCGGCGCGCCUCAUACAUGCAAGUCGAGCGAGAACCGGGCUUCGGCCCGGGGAGAGCGGCGAACGGGUGCGUAUCACGUGAGCAACCUGCCUCAGAGACCGGGAUAACUCGAGGAAACUCGGGCUAAUACCGGAUGCCCUCGGUGGAUCGCAUGGUCCGGCGAGGAAAUGGAUUCCGCUCUGAGAUGGGCUCGCGGCCUAUCAGCUUGUUGGUGGGGUAACGGCCUACCAAGGCGACGACGGGUAGCUGGUCUGAGAGGACGAUCAGCCACACUGGGACUGAGACACGGCCCAGACUCCUACGGGAGGCAGCAGUAGGGAAUCUUGCGCAAUGGGCGAAAGCCUGACGCAGCGACGCCGCGUGCGGGAUGAAGGCCUUCGGGUCGUAAACCGCUUUCAGCAGGGACGAAAUUGACGGUACCUGCAGAAGAAGGCCCGGCCAACUACGUGCCAGCAGCCGCGGUGAUACGUAGGGGUCUAGCGUUGUCCGGAAUCAUUGGGCGUAAAGAGCUCGUAGGCGGUUCGGCAAGUCGGAUGUGAAAUCUCCACGCUCAACGUGGAGGGGCCAUUCGAAACUGCCGUGACUCGAGUCCGGUAGGGGAGUGCGGAAUUCCCGGUGUAGCGGUGAAAUGCGCAGAUAUCGGGAGGAACACCAGUGGCGAAGGCGGCACUCUGGGCCGGAACUGACGCUGAGGAGCGAAAGCGUGGGGAGCGAACAGGAUUAGAUACCCCCGUAGUCC
rnacentral:rRNA from 1 species